rnacentral:rRNA from 1 species
AUACGUAGGGGGCGAGCGUUAUCCGGAAUUAUUGGGCGUAAAGAGUACGUAGGUGGUUGCGUAAGCGCAAGGUGAAAGACCGGGGCUUAACUUCGGUGAGCCUUGUGAACUGCGUGACUUGAGUGCAGGAGGGGAAAGUGGAAUUCCUAGUGUAGCGGUGAAAUGCGUAGAUUGUAGGAGGAACACCAGUGGCGAAGGCGACUUUCUGGACUGGAACUGACACUGAGGUACGAAAGCGUGGGGAGCAAACAGGAUUAGAGCCCCUGGUAGUCCACGCCGUAAACGAUGAGCACUAGGUGUUGGCGUAGAAAUACGUCGGUGCCGAAGUUAACGCAUUAAGUGCUCCGCCUGGGGAGUACGCACGCAAGUGUGAAACUCAAAUGAAUUGACGGGG